AAGGACGUUUAUUUGGUGGAGUGGUGACAAGGCGUCAAAGAGCCAAAAGGCGGGUGGCCGGUCUGUGAAGCCUCCAUCAUCAAGCUAGCAGAAAGGGAAAAAACUUUGCAAACAAAACUUAAGGAAACUGAAGAACAACUACCCAAGCCAGAGGUGGUUAAGAGAAAAAGUAAACCUUCUAUGGUACUCCUUGAGGCCACAGAGGUGAGAGAUGAACCAGCAGCUAGGAAAAAGCAUCAAGACUGACGGAGUGUGUUUGAGAUAACCUCACAAGUGUCACGGAUGACACAUUUGGCGUUUGUUGGUAGCAGCUC
ensembl:lncRNA